ACCCAGGAUAGCUCAGUCUGUAGAGCAAGAGACUCUUAAACUCAAGGACAUGGGUUCGAUCCCCGCCCUGGGCA